CUCACAAUAAAAUUUAAAUGUCUUACAUGAACUACUUAAUAAGGGAAAAGUAAACAAAUGUACUAAAAAUUGACAUAAACUAAAUAGGCAUACCAUAAAUUUAAAGUUGUAAACGAAAAUGUAAAUGACUCAAAGUUUCGCAAAAUAGAUGUUUGAAGACUAGAAGACGACCCCAUUUCCCAUGGAGGAUCCCCAAAGUAAUAUAAUCAAUCCCUCUCAUAUCUCUUACUAAAAAUCUUCUUCGAAGUUCGUUCCUAUAAAAGGCAACAGUCAAGUAAGAAUAUAAUAGCACAUUUAAGAUUUUUUGUAUAGCGACUAACUGAGAGAAAAUUAAUAAUAAAGUUAGGGACAUGUAGAAUAAACGAGAGAGCAACAUAGUUAGGAGCAAUCUCGGCAACAAUAACAGUACGAGAGAUAGCUUUCCCUUUUAUACGAGAAUAUUUUUUUGGGAGCUCAGGAUGAAGCUUAAAAACUCGGUUCUUAGUAUGUCAAGAGCUCCACAAUGAGAACAAAUAUGUCCAUUACCAAGAUGAGACCCAGAGGUGGCAAUAAAGCCAUCUAAUUAAGGAUCAACUCAGAUAUAACUAUAGGAGGGGGCUAAAUUACUCGUCGAUGACGUUCAUCGCCAUCAAUCAUAUCAAAGGCCUCAUAAAGAAAGGUCAUGGAAGAUGAGUUUAAAAUAUGGGUUUGAAGGGAUUCAAACUCAAGUUUUAAAACCAUCAAAAAUUGAUAAGUGUGAUAUCAAUUAAGGUGCUAGGCAACAAGGGAAACAGUUUCAUCCGAAAACUUACUAAGGGAAUCAUCUUGAGCCAACUCCUCCCAUUAUGACUGAAGAUAGCCAAGAAAAUCAACAAAUGAAAGACCCAAGGUUGCCUGGGAGGCAUAAGCAAUCCCGAUGAAGCUAUAAAUUUCGAGAGUCAUUCUUUUAAUGUGCAUACAUCUAAGUCAAAUAAGUCCUUAAACUAUGUACAAUCAUGGUAUAAAAACAUGUGAUAAAUUUGUUCUUCCAUAGAAUUAAAAUGUCAACCCAAUAUAGUACACUUUUCAAUAUUCCAUUUUAAAAAUUUAGGAUCAGUAGUAGCUGACUUUUUCUUGCCUUUUCCACCAACAAAAAGGCAAAAACGAAAAAUUCUGAGAGAGAUAGAGAGAAUUUUGUUGGUGGAAAUGAUUUUUGUUAGUAGCUACUAAACUGAAUUUUGUUGGUAGCUACCAAAGUCUUGCCUUUUAUUGUAAAAUUUUUUCCAUUCAAUAAUACACUUGUAACCCGAUGAGCGGUAACAUUCUGAGAGAGAUAGAGAGAAAUUUAGACGAGGAGUAACCACCUUAAAGAAAUUCAGACGAGUAACCAUCGUGAGGCUUGGUUUCACCUUAUCUAAAGGGGUUGGGAUCUGAGGAAAUCAUGAUUUACCAGAAAAGAGAAAUAAGGUUGCAAAAAAAAGAUCGGCAAAAAAUUAUUAUCAAAGAAGCACCGAUAACCAAGAAACUAACCAAAAAAAGAGUCCAUAGGACAAUAACGUAUUACAAGGAAGCAAUAAAGGCCCACACAGGGGUAGGCGACAGCACCAAGGCUGUCACAGAAGCUCCCCUACACUAGGAGAGGUUGUCGAGAGGGCAAAGAAGGUUGCUAAAGGUUGCGGAAUAGCUUGGAGGGUGCUACGAAGCCUAGAGGAAGUCACUUGUGGUAGGCUAGAUGGGUGUGAGGGUUUCCAGAGUGGCCUAGAGGGUGUGGCAACAGUGAAAGGUGGUCAGCGGCUAGGGUUUAGAAUUUUUGGCUCUGAUACCAAAUAAAAGAUAAUAUGGAAAAAAAUGAGUGAAUCUUAUUCCAAUGGAGUACCCCUAUUUACACAAGCUAAGGAGAAUAAGAAAAGAAAUAACAAAAUAACAAAAAAUCAUACUAAAUCAAUUACCAUCAAUGCUAGAAUAAAGUCAAGAAAUUUAAUAGUAAGCAUAUCUUAAAAUACAUUAGGAAACAUAUCCUAAAAUAUUUCCAAUAAAUACAUAUGGAGCAACGACUCCUGAGGUACCAAACCCUUUCCAUGCCCGAGAUUGAGGGAAUGGACCCUCCAAAGAAGAUCAAUCUGCCAAAGUUUACUAUAUAUGACCAAAAGUUAGACCCAAGGUUGCACAUAAGCCAUUAAGGACAAAUAAUGGUGUUGUGGAGUCAUCAUGAUGUGUUGAUGUGGAGGGUAUGAUCUUAAAGCUGAGUAUAAAUCUAUGGCAUCUAUAAGUUCUAAACUCAUUUGGAUUAGCUCAUUCGUUCAUGAUAUGUGUCUCUCUUUCUAUCACUCAGCCACCAACCUUGCAUUGUGACAAUCUUAAUGUGCUCUAUAUGAGUGUAAAUCUAGUGUUCCAUGGCCAUACAAACACAUUGAGUUUGAAUAUCACUUUGUUAGUGAAAACAUUGUGCUUGGAAAUCUUACCACAUACUUUGUUAAUUCUGAACAUCAACUUGCAGAUAUUUUAAUGAACCCUCUGCCUCGUGCACCUUUCCAGUUAUUUUGCAUCAAACUUGGUCUAGGCCGACUACCCAUUCCAAGUUUUGAGGGGGAGUAUUAGUGAAACAAGUCACCUCUACUCAAUCCAAAAGAAGAAAUGCCCAAAUCUCAUUCAAUUGAUAUGGAAACUAUAAAAGGAUAAAAUACACAACUACUAGUUUUGGCCACGCUAGGGCAAACACCACUAUCAAGCUAUCGCUAUGAAGCAAGCUCAAUGGGGACUCUACAUCAGAGCUCAAUCAAGACACUACUGGACAUCAGCUCUGUCUGAGCUAAGCCAAGUUGUCACCCUAUAGCAAGUUCGGCAGUAUUAUGUUGAAGCUUGGUCGAGGGGCAAUGGUCGACAGUGAUUUUGACGUGCAUCAAAGGACAAAAGAUAACUUGAAUGACGAGGAUUUUUCUAACAGCUCCCAUGCCUAGAUUGAGACGUCUACAACAUGAUGGCUAGCUACUAACCAGGCCUUAGGGGCAUGGCUGGGUCAGUAAUCUACUCACCGACAUAGUAAUUAGCACAUCCAGGUACACGCCGAGAUGUAGUCUAUCUAGUGACAUGAUAGUUGGUGCUCCCAGGUAUGCGUCGAACUAUGCUAUAUAAGGCCAACCCUUAUUCGCUCAAAAGUAUAGACAUUUAGCCCCACGGAAGCACCCACAAAUAGACAUUCAUGAAAAGAGAUAACAACAAAAAAUUUAUGUGAUUCAGCUUACAAUACCUAUAUCUAUGGGAGAGAGAUUUCACUAUCUAUGUAAAAUAGAGAUUACAAUUGUAAAAUGAACAAAACACAAUUUUCACACCCCUUCUUAAGCCCCACGCUCAAGGGUACUUGAGCCAUUGCUGAUCCUGGUGUAUCAUGGAGUUUUUUCUCGUAAUUUCUCAAUCUCUAUUUUACUCUCAUCAUUUUUAUCUCACAACCAAGCAAAGAACUCUUGGCCCGAAGUCCCUUCAUUAUUAGCUCACUCUCUCUAACUCUACUAUUCUCUUCUCCCUCU
rnacentral:lncRNA from 1 species